GAUGAACGCUGGCGGCGUGCCUAACACAUGCAAGUCGAACGGAAGGGCCCGGCGUUUGCGGGUCUCUCGUUAGCGGAGGGCGGGAGUAUCACACGUGUAUCCCCCCCCUAUCUUAGGGGUAUCUCCAGGAAACUGGGGCGAUAACCGGAUAGAAUCUCUUGCUCCGUGGGGGGGAUUGGAAAGAGACGGCGUUGGUGGCUGGUCUAGCUGCAUCCGAGCUGCAUUGGCGAGUUGGUAAGGUAACGGCUUACGAAGGCAACGAGGCAUAGCCGACGUGAGAGGGUGAGCGGCCACACUGGAACUGAGACACGGUCCAGACUACUACGGGAGGCAGCAGUAGGGAAGCUUCCGCAAUGGGCGAAAGCCUGACGGAGCAACGCCGCGUGAGGGAUGAAGGUCUUCGGAUCGUAAAACUCUGUUAUUAGGGAAGAACAUAUGUGUAAGUAACUGUGCACAUCGUGACGGUACCUAAUCAGAAAGCCACGGCUAACUACGUG
rnacentral:rRNA from 1 species